rnacentral:rRNA from 1 species
CCUACGGGCGGCAGCAGUGAGGAAUAUUGGUCAAUGGACGGAAGUCUGAACCAGCCACGCCGCGUGCAGGAAGACGGCUCUAUGAUUUGUAAACUGCUUUUGUACAAGGGUAAAUCUGAAUACGUGUAUUCAGCUGAAAGUACUGUACGAAUAAGGAUCGGCUAAAUCUGUGCCAGCAGCCGCGGUAAUACGGAGGAUCCAAGCGUUACUCGGAUUUAGUGGGUUUAAAGGGUGCGUAGGCGGAUUGAUAAGUUAGAGGUGAAAUGUCAGAGGUUAACUCGGGAACUGCCUGUGAUACUGUUGAUCUAGAGAAUAGGUGCGGUAGGCGGAAUGUAUGGUGUAGCGGUGAAAUGCUUAGAGAUCAAACAGAACACCGAUUGCGAAGGCAGCUUACCAGUAUAUAUCUGACGUUGAGGCACGAAAGCGUGGGGAGCAAACAGGAUUAGAUACCCCUGUAGUC